rnacentral:tRNA from 1 species
GAACUGGCCGAGCGCCCGGACGCCGUCGGCCUUGGCCUGGCGCACGGCGGGGUUGAAGUAGACGCGGUCGCGUUCGGACUCCUGUGCCGCUUUG